rnacentral:ncRNA from 1 species
UUAAUGUUACUCGACACCGGAAACCUCAACCGACCUGGACACUGAAAGGAUUGCCAGAUCAAUAGCUCUUUCUCGAUUCUGUGGGUGGUGGUGCAUGGCCAUUCUUAGUUGGUAGAGCAAUUUGGCUGGUUAAUUCCGAUAAUGAACGAGACUUGGCAUGCUAACUAGUUAUGUGACCCCGAACGGUCAGAGUC